AGAGUUUGAUCCUGGCUCAGGACGAACGCUGGCGGCAUGCCUAAUACAUGCAAGUCGAACGCUUUGAUUUCACCGGGUGCUUGCACCCACCGAAGUCAAGGAGUGGCGGACGGGUGAGCAACACGUGGGUAACCUGCCCAUAAGUGGGGGAUAACAUUCGGAAACGGAUGCUAAUACCGCAUAUUUCUAAUCGCCUCCUGGCGAACUGAAAAAAGGUGGCUUCGGCUACCGCUUAUGGAUGGACCCGCGGCGUAUUAGCUAGUUGGUGAGGUAAUGGCCCACCAAGGCGAUGAUACGUAGCCGACCUGAGAGGGUGAUCGGCCACACUGGGACUGAGACACGGCCCAGACUCCUACGGGAGGCAGCAGUAGGGAAUCUUCCGCAAUGGACGAAAGUCUGACGGAGCAAUGCCGCGUGAGUGAAGAAGGUUUUCGGAUCGUAAAACUCUGUUGUUAGAGAAGAACAAGGAUGAGAGUAACUGCUCAUCCCCUGACGGUAUCUAACCAGAAAGCCACGGCUAACUACGUGCCAGCAGCCGCGGUAAUACGUAGGUGGCAAGCGUUGUCCGGAUUUAUUGGGCGUAAAGCGAGCGCAGGCGGUUCUUUAAGUCUGAUGUGAAAGCCCCCGGCUCAACCGGGGAGGGUCAUUGGAAACUGGAGAACUUGAGUGCAGAAGAGGAGAGUGGAAUUCCACGUGUAGC
rnacentral:rRNA from 1 species